CCGGCGCACGGGUGAGUAACACGUAUGCAAUCCACCUGUAACAGGGGGAUAACCCGGAGAAAUCCGGACUAAUACCCCAUAAUAUGGGCUCUCCGCAUGGAGGGUCCAUUAAAGAGAGCAAUUUUGGUUACAGACGAGCAUGCGCUCCAUUAGCCAGUUGGCGGGGUAACGGCCCACCAAAGCGACGAUGGAUAGGGGUUCUGAGAGGAAGGUCCCCCACAUUGGAACUGAGACACGGUCCAA
rnacentral:rRNA from 1 species